CCUAAGAGACACCACCAGAGGAUGGCAGUGGCAUCUGGAGGAGGAUUGGAGCUAGCUGGAAGGAGUCCUGCCCACUAUCUGCAGAGGGAAACUAGCAGUGGGGCUGCACCUUGGUAGUCAGGUGCUGGGUGCUGUCUGCCUUUUGCAUGAAGAGGAGAGACUUUUAAAACUGCCUGAAAAUGAAUCCAGGAUGAGUGAGACUCCCUCCAACUGAACAGGAGUUGUCAGGCCAGAGAUGUAUCUGCCAGACAGAGAACAAGUGAAGUUCAUUGGAUCUAAAUGCAAUGGAUUAAGGAGUACCAGCUUCCGAAGUUCAGUGCUGCUGGAUAUAUGCCUGACCCCAGCCUGGACAUUUUUGCAGUGAAGUAUACAUCAUAGGCAUUGGUGAUGGAAGCUUCCUUAUGCUGCUCACUACAGUCUGUCAACCCUCACCUCAAGGGACUAUGGACAUGAUCCAAUACAGUGAAAUCAACAGGAGCCUUUCCAUUGAAUUCCAUGGGCACUGGAUCAAACCCUGUAAGUAGGUGUAAGAGGGUAGCUCAUUUCUGUCUCCAUUCAAUCAUUUGUCUCUCUGCUGAGAUUACCAAUAAGGAGGCCAGUUAGUUCCUGUUGUGAUGUAAACAGGAGUCCAUUGCAAAACGGCUGGAGACCAAACAGCUAAUUGUGCGUAGGCCAAAGAGCCAUCAGAUGGUAACAAUUUAUGAUUAGUGCUAACUGAAAUUACUUUCAUGUGCAUUGUGUAUUAUACAAUUUAGUUCAGUUAAAAGGUCCUUCAUGUAAAGGCAAGUAAUUUUAUUUAUUCUUUUUUAAAUUAGAAAUGACAAAAACCUGCAGACAGAGGCUGGCAGGAAUUUAGCACCUUUAAUAGUGAAGCACAUGACAUACAGAGAAGCUAAUGAAAUAUUAUUUACACUUAAUUCCAAAGACAACAAAACAUCCAAACUACAGACAGACUGUGGGCUCGAUGUUUUGUGGCUCCUAUGUUGAUACAUACCAUCUGAUGAUCUUGCCCACAUAUGAAUCCCCUUUAUAGGGUGAUUGCUUUUUGUGAUACAAGCAAGGCUGCAGUGCUACUUGCAGUAAAUAGCUCUUUUUCUUCAAGCCACAAGAAACUGUCACAUCUGCCAACCUUCAGCAGACUGAGCAGGGACUGUUAUUCAUUUUAGUGCCCAACUGCAUUAUAUUUACCCUGGCUAUAAUAUUCUCUAUUACCACUGAAAAUGUUUGACUCCCAAAGAAAAAAAGAAGGAAUUGUGUCAAAGGUCCAAAUUCCUCCCUGAGAUGUGAAUAAUUUUCAGUGACUUUAAUGGGAGCUGUGCACAUGAAUUUCUAGAUGGAAUCUGACUCCAAAGCCCACCCAUUUAUACUGGAUUUUUUCAGCAGGACUUUUUCAUAUUAGUUUAUUAAACAUACUUUAAUCUCAAUGGGCUGAAUCUUUGGGCCCUCUUGCAUCUGCUUUGGAUGGUGGUGACAUGCAAAGGAACUGAAGAACUGCACUAAAGGGGAGGCUGAGAAUUUCUUCUGACAGGGGAAUCCUCAAGUGGCGCAAACCUGGUGUAGCUGGUUCUAUAUCUUCUGCUCUCCCCCGCCACAUGGGAGCCUGUUGGAGUAGUGUAUGGUGUUCCAUUAGAUCUGCAGCUAUCCUAACUCAGAACAUCUUCAGGCUGUUCCAAGAAACACUAAGGGUUGUUUUGGUCCCUGACUAGGGUGACCGGAUGUCCCAUUUUUAUAUGGACAGUCCUGUUUUUUGGGAUCUUUUCUUAUAUACCCCCGCCCCCUGUCCCGUUUUUUCACAGUUGCUAUCUGGUCACCCUAUCCCUGACUGGCUUGGAAUCAGGGGUGCAAAAAGGUGACUUAUAGCCACCUCUCUUUCAACUCCAUGGCUACAGUGAGUGCAUGGACAUAGACAAAACUCUAGUCCCCUUUUCCACCCCUCUCCCCACCCCCCAAAAAUAAAAAAGUUGUCUAUGGCUAUGGAGUGUGAACUCGGAGCAUCUGAGGCAUGGAUCCAACUGCUGCUACAUUGGUUGCUAACAUUAUUUGAUAGUUCAGUUGUGUUGAAAACAUGAUUGAAAAGCCUGGGAAGAUAUGGUCUUAAAUGUUCUGUGGACUACAUUCUGAUGCCCUUAUAAUAUUGAGUAACACUUUACCCUGCAAUUAGUCCCAUUGAUUACUAUGAAGCUGCUCAGAGAGUAAGAUACUACUCAAUGUAAAUAAGGUAUCAGAUUCUGGCCCUUUCUGUUUUUGAAUAUAAGUGGUUCCUGCGUUUCCUUAAUUGAUGACUAGUGGCUUCACUGACGCUUGCUGCAAUCUAACAUUUGCAUCUCCCAGUGUGCAGAAAAAUAGCAACAUUUUUGUGUUCCUACUUCAUCUCUAAAUCAGUACCACAAUCGUACAAUAUCAUAGCCAAAUGUGGCAGGUGUGGCCUUUCCCAAUUAGGUUGCUUUAGAGAAUUAUUUGUGCAAAAAAGUAAUUGCCUGGUUAACAUUUAAACAAACAUUCAUUUUCUUUCUCCACUUGUUGCAAGUUGUUUCUGUAUAAAUUUAGCUAGAAGUGCUUAUUGUAUUUUAGGGGUGUCAAUAAUGAACAUGACAGAACUUUUGCUGAAUGGAUCAGCUUAUAUAGAUGGGAAGAUGGGAAAGUUUCUAGUGACCUAAGGAAAAUAUUUACUGUUGGUAGCACUGCAGUAUUUUGAAUAUCAAGUACCACUCUCCAUUUCUGGGUAUACAUGCUGCAGGUAAAAGACAGUUGUUUUGCUUCUGGAAAGUGCAGUUUCAUAAAUGCACUUAACUACCCAUAACAAAUGUCCUGUUAUUUGUGCUUUCAGCAAAAAUAUACAGUAGAGUAGUUGGAUAAUAAAUAGCAUCGUUUACUGCCACUCUAGAUUUCAUCACAAUAGUCAUGAUUGUUACCUUUCUUUCAGUUUCUGUGAAUACUGUUUGUUGUAAUCUCAUGAGUUCGGUUUUCUGUUUAACUAUUACUUGUUUACUCGUCUUCAGGAGAAGAAUUAUUCUAACAAUCCUUCUUGAGUAUUUACCAGCAUCUAUCUCCUACUAUUAUUAAGUAUGUUAUUAAUAAGUAAGAGGAGCUGCACAUUAUCUACAAUACCCUUCCACUGUUAGCCCACACAGAACAGGAGUUGUGUAAAAAGAGAUGAACAAUACUUAGAACUUAGAGUAAUGUAUAUCUUCAAAAUACUAUUAUGUAAAUAACCAACAACACUAUGAAAUACAUACUUUUAUGCCCAUUUUAGAGAUGGAGAAAGGCAGGCUGAAGGGGUUAAGAGAGUUCCAUAGAAUAUCAGGGUUGGAAGUCAUCUAGUCCAACUCCCUGCUCAAAGCAGGACCAAUCCCCAACUAAAUCGGAGGUGUCUUGGUUCCAGGCCUGGGCUUAAAUCAUGCAGGUUGUUUAGCCUCUCAUAGGGAGUGAGAUCCUUCAAUAAGAAUUUAUCCCAAACACCUUGACUCUCAAUUAUGCUAAGCCUGAGUAUGCCUCUCUGGCAGGAGGCCAGAAACAGAUCCCUGAAAAUAAUCCCUGCACAGAGGGCCUCCCAGCUUGUGUAGAACUGGCACCCAGGCUCCAGCACUGCUUCCAGACCCCAAUGGAUGAGAUUGGAGUGCACUGCACUAUGGCUACUAUCUGCUUCCAAAGGGGUCAAAAGAAGCAGGCCUUGAAUGAGAGCAGCUCUAAAGCGUCUCUAACUUAGCACCAGGGCUGAACAGGCUCCAGGAUGGGGAAGCAUAUGCUUCUGUCCCUGUCCCAAGUACAGGAACAGAGUAACUGAAAAUCAGGCCUGUAUCUCCAGCUAUGGAAUGGAUUCUCCAGUGAAUGCAUAUUACUCACAGCUACUCCUUAUGCACACACACACACUCUAUUUACUUUGCUUCUUAAGGAAAUAUAGCCCUCCGCUUCUUCCUUAAACAAAUUAUACCUCUACCAAAAGCCUCCUGUACCAGUCUGAUUGUUUGAGGAUAUGAAUCCUGUGACGUUGUGCAGUCUAUAUGGUUUUAUAAAAACAUAAGUGAAUAUAAUGUAACUGGGAUAGUUUUAGAAAAAUAUGGUAAAAAGUGAAUAUAACGUAACUGGAAUAUGCUUCAUGCAAAAGGUCUCUUGUAAGGUAUCAUUACAAAGCUUAUAAUCUACUGCGUGUGAUCAUCCGAUUUGUAUAAAUGUACCACUCUUGUAUCUAAAACUAGAAAUAUAAAAUGUAACUCUGAGGGCCUAUUGUAAUUAUGUAAAGUGUGGGCCAUUAAUGGUGGUUUGGAAUCUUGAUGACUCCCAUUGUCUGCAGAUGGUUGUGUUUACCUGUGAGUCUUCCUGUAUAUGUGUGUGCUGGCAAGUGAGUAAUGAAGUCUUGCAGUGACAUGUGAUCAUGUCACCUGAACUGGAAUCCAUCUUUAACCUGGUACUUUUCCAGUGAGGGGGGGUGGAAACCCAGAGGGACAAAGGGUUCCCGAUUUAUGCAAAAGAUAUAUAAAGGGGUGGAAGAGAACAAAGGGGAGAGAGGAGCCAUCAUGAAGAAUCCCCUAGCUAUCACCUGAGCUGGAACAAGAGCUGUACCAGGGGAAAGAAUUGUGCCCAGGCCUGGAAGGUGUCCAGUCUGAGAAAAACUUACUGAAGCAUCUCUGAGGGUGAGAUUAUCUGUAUUUAGCUUGAUUAGACAUAGAUUUGUGCAUUUUAUUUUAUUUUGCUUGGUGACUUACUUUGUUCUGUCUGUUACUACUUGGAACCACUUAAAUCCUAUUUUCUGUAUUUAAUAAAAUCACUUUUUAUUUAGUAAUUUACUCAGAGUAUGUAUUAAUACCUGGGGGAGCAAACAGCUGUGCAUAUCUCUCUAUCAGUGUUAUAGAGGGCGAACAAUUUAUGAGUUUGCCCUGCAUAAGCUUUAUGCAGGGUAAAACGGAUUUAUUUGG